AUGGGAAACCCUGUUGAUGCACCUAAACCCUAUCAAUGGAUAUGGAAAUCAUGCUCUUUACCAAAGCAGAAAUUCUUCUUCUGGCUCUUGUUACAAGACAGAUUAAACACUAGAGAUCUACUAAAAAGGAAGAAUUUCUACAUUGAGACUAGUAAGUGUGAAUUAUGUGAUGAUGAACCUAAUGAACAUUUAAUGCAUCUGUUUUUUAGCUGUGACUUCAGUCAAAACUUCUGGAUGAACAUUGGCUACCAAUGGAACACUGAUCAUAACCUCAUAGAAAUGCUCCUGGAGGGAAGGAAGCAAGAUACACAUGGAUGCUUUAAAGAAUGUCUGAUUGCUGGAUGCUGGAGUCUAUGGAAACACAGAAAUAGCAUAAUUUUUGACAACAAGGUCAAAAAUAUGACAUUCUGUAUUGCCACUUUCAAGGAGCACUUUUGCAUGAUUAUAAAGAAGGCAAAACCAGGAUUGAAAGAGGGCUAG
rnacentral:rRNA from 1 species